GGAUGUAACUGAGUGGUAGAGUGCUUGCCUAGCAUGUAGGAGGCCCUGGAUUCAAUCUCCAGUACCACCA
rnacentral:tRNA from 1 species